CCCCCAGCAGCCGGCUCGACACCGCCCUUUCCCUCUGAAGGGCCACUCGUUUUAGCCACGUCCUCUUAUUGUCCCUCCCCUGGCCACACCCCUUCAGACAUGCGUAGUGCUCCCCUUGGUCCAGCGCGGGAAGCUCCCUCGUGAGUGUCCGAAACUAUUAGCUCACUCACUGCCUCAUGUGAAGGUACCCAGUCUCUGAUUAACUCUUAAGUACUCCACAACUACACGCUUUUGAAACUGGCGUUGGCAUAGCGUUAGUUCUGUGCAGGGCGGACGCAGCAGGACAGAAUCUCCCUGGGCAUCUUUUCGGAGCAUCAAUUUUACUGCAAAAUUUUGAAAAAACAAAUUUAAUUGAUUUCCAAGGUUUGUCAAGGAGGACAGAAACUCAGAGCACCCUGCACUUGGGGAUCGGCACUAGGAGCUGCUCUCUGGAUGGGGAGAUGGGAGCUAGCAGCUCACAAUGGGGUCACAAGAAUAUUGGUUCUUCUUUUAUCUGAAGUGAGGAGCACCAGAGGACUGAUCACGGCAUAGACAUUGACUACAAGACUCUGAACUUGCUG
rnacentral:lncRNA from 1 species